CACCGCCCGUCACACCAUGGGAGUGGGAUGCAAAAGAAGUAGUUAGUCUAACCUUCGGGAGGACGAUUACCACUUUGUGUUUCAUGACUGGGGUGAAGUCGUAACAAGGUAACCCUAGGGGAACCUGGGGUUG
rfam:Vitrella brassicaformis CCMP3155 genome assembly, contig: scaffold747